GGGAUGCAGGUUGGGAUGCAGGCUGGGAUGCAGGUUGGGAUGCAGGCUGGGAUGCAGGCUGGGAUGCAGGUUGGGAUGCAGGUUGGGAUGCAGGCUGGGAUGCAGAUUGGGAUGCAGGUUGGGAUGCAGGCUGGGAUGCAGGCUGGGAUGCAGAUUGGGAUGCAGAAUGGGAUGCAGGUUGGGAUGCAGGCUGGGAUGCAGGCUGGGAUGCAGAUUGGGAUGCAGAUUGGGAUGCAGAAUGGGAUGCAGGUUGGGAUGCAGGCUGGGAUGCAGGCUGGGAUGCAGGCUGGGAUGCAGAUUGGGAUGCAGAAUGGGAUGCAGGCUGGGAUGCAGGCUGGGAUGCAGGUUGGGAUG